rnacentral:rRNA from 1 species
GACGAACGCUGGCGGCGUGCUUAACACAUGCAAGUCGAACGGAAAGGCCCUGCUUUUGUGGGGUGCUCGAGUGGCGAACGGGUGAGUAACACGUGAGUAACCUGCCCUUGACUUUGGGAUAACUUCAGGAAACUGGGGCUAAUACCGGAUAGGAGCUCCUGCUGCAUGGUGGGGGUUGGAAAGUUUCGGCGGGUGGGGAUGGACUCGCGGCUUAUCAGCUUGUUGGUGGGGUAGUGGCUUACCAAGGCUUUGACGGGUAGCCGGCCUGAGAGGGUGACCGGCCACAUUGGGACUGAGAUACGGCCCAGACUCCUACGGGAGGCAGCAGUGGGGAAUAUUGCACAAUGGGCGGAAGCCUGAUGCAGCAACGCCGCGUGCGUGAUGACGGCCUUCGGGUUGUAAACCGCUUUCGCCUGUGACGAAGCGUGAGUGACGGUAAUGGGUAAAGAAGCACCGGCUAACUACGUG